rnacentral:rRNA from 1 species
UACAGAGGGUGCAAGCGUUAAUCGGAAUUACUGGGCGUAAAGCGCGCGUAGGUGGUUUGUUAAGUUGGAUGUGAAAUCCCCGGGCUCAACCUGGGAACUGCAUCCAAAACUGGCAAGCUAGAGUAUGGUAGAGGGUGGUGGAAUUUCCUGUGUAGCAGUGAAAUGCGUAGAUAUAGGAAGGAACACCAGUGGCGAAGGCGACCACCUGGACUGAUACUGACACUGAGAGACGAAAGCUAGGGGAGCGAAUGGG